ensembl:lncRNA
AGAGAGAGAGAGACAGAGAGAGAGACAGAGAGAGAGAGACAGAGAGAGAGAGACAGAGAGAGAGACAGAGAGAGAGACAGAGACAGAGACAGAGAGAGAGACAGAGAGAGAGAAACAGACAGAGACAGAAAUAAUGAAGUCAUUGUUAAAGACAGAGAGAGGGGGGUGAGGUAGUCAUUGAGACUGAGAGAGGGGGGUGAUGAGGUAGUCAUUGAGACGGAGAGAGGGGGGUGAGGUAGUCAUUGAGACGGAGAGAGGGGGGUUGAUGAGGUAGUCAUUGAGACAGAGAGAGGGGGUGAGGGGGUGAUGAGGUAGUCAUUGAGACAGAGAGAGAGAGGGGGUGAUGAGGUAGUCAUUGUUAAAGACAGAGAGAGAGAGGGGAGUGAUGAGGUAGUCAUUGAGACAGAGAGAGAGAGGGGGUGAUGAGGUAGUCAUUGUUAAAGACAGAGAGAGAGAGGGGAGUGAUGAGGUAGUCAUUGAGACAGAGAGAGAGAGGGGGUGAUGAGGUAGUCAUUGUUAAAGACAGAGAGAGAGAGGGGAGUGAUGAGGUAGUCAUUGAGACAGAGAGAGAG